rnacentral:lncRNA from 10 species
AACCCGCUUGAGUCAGCUUCUGCAUUGUGGAAGGUUUGUUCUUUCUCUCUUUGCAGUAAAUCUUACUGCUGCUCACUUUUUGGGUCCACACUGCGUUUAUUAGCUGCAACGCUCACCGCUAUGGUCUGCAGCUUCACUCCUGAAGCCAGCGAGACCACGAACCCACCAGAAUGAAGAAACUCCGAACACAUCCAAACAUCAGAAGGAACAAACUCCGGACAGGCGGCCUUUAAGAACUGUAACACUCACCUCGAGGGUCUGCGGCUUCAUUCUUGAAGUCAGUGAGACCAAGAACCCACCAAUUCCGGACACAAUGUUACUCCAGAUAAUCAGCGCCAUUUUCUGAAGCUUGAGAUGCAGGAAAAGAGGAGUGCUAUCCAUUAGAUGGAGACAGGAAGUAGAAAAAGGUAAGACCUCUGAGAGGUAUCCCUGGUGUGGGAGCAUGUUCGUACCUAUAAGGCUGUGUGUGCUCACACACCCAUGGCAUCUGUGGGGGUCGGAGCUCUAUGUGACUGCAACCGAGAGUGUGUUGAUUGGUGUUUGUCUGUGCAUGAUGGAACAGUAUGCCUUGUGAGCAUACAUGGGCAUGCUUCAUUCUAGCCUGCAGACAAGUGCUAUAGAGAGAUGGCAGAGAUGCUCCCAGGCUCCCCUAGUACCUUGUGAGCAUACAUGGGCAUGCUCCAUUCUAGCCUGAAGACAGGUGCUAUAGAGAGGUGGCAGAUAUGCUUCCAGGCUCCCCUAGGCCUAAAUGUGUCAACGUCUCUGAGCCACUUUACUCAUCUGUUUAAGGGGAAUGAGGUGAUUCAGUGAUAGGAUGUGUGAAAAAUCCAGUAUGGUGCUUGACAA